rnacentral:rRNA from 1 species
UACGAAGGGGGCUAGCGUUGCUCGGAAUUAUUGGGCGUAAAGGGCGCGUAGGCGGCACUGUUAGUCAGGCGUGAAAUUCCUGGGCUCAACCUGGGGACUGCGCUUGAUACGGCAGAGCUUGAGGAUGGAAGAGGGUCGCGGAAUUCCCAGUGUAGAGGUGAAAUUCGUAGAUAUUGGGAAGAACACCGGUGGCGAAGGCGGCGACCUGGUCCAUUACUGACGCUGAGGCGCGACAGCGUGGGGAGCAAACAGG